rnacentral:rRNA from 1 species
CUUGGUCAUUUAGAGGAAGUAAAAGUCGUAACAAGGUUUCCGUAGGUGAACCUGCGGAAGGAUCAUUAACGAAACGCUCAGGGAUGUUGCUGGCCCUUUCUGCGAAGGGCAUGUGCACUCCUUGAACAUUCUGACCCUUCACCCCUGUGCACCCUUUUGUAGGCUUCAGAGGGACCACUCUUUGGGGCCUAUGUCAUCAUUACAUUUACAAACUCUAGUCGAUCGAAUGUUCUUGUAACAAGUAAACCUGGAGCUUUCUAGGUUUAAAAGUAACCCAAUACAACUUUCAACAAUGGAUCUCUUGGCUCUCGCAUCGAUGAAGAACGCAGCGAAAUGCGAUACGUAAUGUGAAUUGCAGAAUUCCGUGAAUCAUCGAAUCUUUGAACGCACCUUGCGCCCCUUGGUAUUCCGAGGGGCAUGCCUGUUUGAGUGUCAUUGAAUUCUCAACUUGGCCCGAGUUUGCUCUCGGAGCUCAAGCUUGGAUUUGGAGUGUGCUGGUCCCUUGCGGGGUCGGCUCCUCUGAAAAGCAUUAGCGACGAAAUCCUUUCANGGGUGGGCCCCAAAAUGUGCUGUGGCAUUGAUAACAAUUGUCUAUGUCUCACUGCGGGGGGGGAGGAUGANCCAAGGGCGUUCUCCCUUACAAUGGUCCUCGUCGUGGGGGACAAAGGCUCACCUUGACAAUUACCUCAAUCAGGUAGGACUACCCGCUGAACUUAAGCAUAUCAAUAAGCGGAGGAAAAGAAACUANCAAGGAUUCCCCUAGUAACUGCGAGUGAAAGCGGNAAAAGCUCAAAUUUAAANUCUGGUGNUCCCGAGUNGGCUGCCCGAGUUGUAAUCUAGAGAAGUGCUUUCCGCGCUGGACCGUGUACAAGUCUCUUGGAACGNAGCGUCGUAGAGGGUGACAAUCCCCGUCUUUGACACGGACUGCCAGGGCUUAUGUGAUGCGCUCUCGAAGAGUCGAGUUGUUUGGGAAUGCAGCUCAAAAUGGGUGGUAAAUUCCAUCUAAAGCUAAAUAUGGGCGAGAGACCGAUAGCGAACAAGUACCGUGAGGGAAAGAUGAAAAGAACUUUGAAAAGAGAGUUAAACAGUACGUGAAAUUGUUGAAAGGGAAACGAUUCAAGUCAGUCGCGUUGGCCGGUAAUCAACCCUUGCGAAGGCGGGGGCUUACUUUCCGUCUGACGGGUCAGCAUCAAUUUUGACCGUCAGAUAAAGGUUUGGGGAACGUGGCAUCUUCGGAUGUGUUAUAGCCCCUUGUCAGAUGUGACGGUUGGGAUUGAGGAACUUGGCACGCCCGCAAAGGGUCGGGGCUUUUUGCCCACGUAACGUGCUUUGGAUGCUGGCAUAAUGGCUUGAACCGACCCGUCUUGAAACACGGACC